CAGGAAAGAAAGGUAUGGGCACAGCGUGGCGUAAAAGGCAGCGGACUCCUGGAGCACUGUUAGUCCUUGGCACAGGUACAGAGCUCACGUCGGUGCCUUUGCCUGAGGAUGUGCACAGUGUGAAUGGAUGUGGCUCUGAACAGCUCAGGGAGAAUUUAAGGUUGGGGUCUCAGCACAGAUCUUGGCUCCAAAGGGGGAACGUGCUGGGAUGGGGCAUCAAUGGCAAAACAUCACAAUGGCCCUUUGCUUCUUUCCCCGCUCGCUGGCAGCCCGUCACCCUUUCCAUGGUUUAAGUGAGUGUCCAAAGGUCACAGCGAACUCAAGUCCCUGCCCCGUGGCUCACGUCGUCCAGUGAAUAAGCAGUGGGUGUGCGGCACCUGAAUCAAAGCUCCCUCCUGCUGCAGAGCAGAGCACGGGGCAGCACUGGGCUGUGAGCCUGCAGCGCGUGCUCUGCGCCUGGCUGCACCCGGGUGGGAGUGGGGCCACUGGGAUGCUGCCCUGGUGGAUGCUGCCCCGGGGAUAAUACCCUGAGAGAUAACUGCCCCAGGGGAUGCUCUCCCCGAGUGAUGCAGCCCCGAGGGAUGCCCGCCUCAAGGGAUAUUCACCUGAAGAGAUGUUUACCCUGAGGGAUGCUCACCCCAAGGGAUGCUGCCCCAAGGGCCGCCCCAGCCCCAUCACCUCCCCCGCGGGGCGUUUCAGUCUUGCAGCCACCACAGCUGUGUGCAAUGCUCUGAGCACUGUCAGCUGCAGCCGACGAGGGGAAGAUGUGAUGGAGCGGAGUGUCGCAAGGGGCAGGGGCACAGCUGGGGCUGAUGACGGGGAGCAAAGGUGCUCAUCCCAGGGGCAGGCGGUGGGGCCGCUGCCCGGCGCUUCCCGCUUAGCCCUGGAUCCGCUCCAGCGCGCGUGAGCAGCACGAGCCCGUGGGGAGCGCCGGGAGGCGCCGCUCGGAGGGGCUUUCCAGCCACAUCCACAUCUGAACCUCACGGCGAGGCGAAGGCGUUGGGGAGAGGCCGAGAUGGAGAUCUGCUCACAUCCCAGAGCGCUCAGAGCGAUGACUCAAAGGAUUCCUGGCGUUACUGCACGGCGAGGUGCAGCGCGCUGCCACCGCCGCCGUCAGCACAACUGCGCUCCCUCGGACAGCUGCGAGUGCUCGCAGGUUUAUA
ensembl:lncRNA